rnacentral:rRNA from 1 species
ACUCCUACGGGAGGCAGCAGUGGGGAAUAUUGCACAAUGGGCGGAAGCCUGAUGCAGCAACGCCGCGUGCGGGAUGACGGCCUUCGGGUUGUAAAACCUGCUUUCGCCUGUGACGAAGCGUGAGUGACGGUAAUGGGUAAAGAAGCACCGGCUAACUACGUGCCAGCAGCCGCGGUGAUACGUAGGGUGCGAGCGUUGUCCGGAUUUAUUGGGCGUAAAGGGCUCGUAGGUGGUUGAUCGCGUCGGAAGUGUAAUCUUGGGGCUUAACCCUGAGCGUGCUUUCGAUACGGGUUGACUUGAGGAAGGUAGGGGAGAAUGGAAUUCCUGGUGGAGCGGUGGAAUGCGCAGAUAUCAGGAGGAACACCCAGUGGCGAAGGCGGUUCUCUGGGCCUUUCCUGACGCUGGAGGAGCGAAAGCGUGGGGAGCGAACAGGCUUAGAUACCCUGUAGGU